AUGAAUUAAAGACCUCAAAGUAUGAAAAUAAUAAAGUUUCCUUGGGCACAGGAAAUAGGUGCAAAAGUCAUGAGGCUUAAGACUAGCAUAACAAGGUGCUGGGAGCACAGGCAUUUGCCACCACAUCCCAGGCUGGCCUUGAACUCACUAUGUAGCCCAGGCUGA
rnacentral:lncRNA from 1 species